rnacentral:rRNA from 1 species
AGACAGGUGCUGCAUGGCUGUCGUCAGCUCGUGUCGUGAGAUGUUGGGUUAAGUCCCGCAACGAGCGCAACCCUUGCCUUUAGUUGCCAGCAGUUCGGCUGGGCACUCUAAAGGGACUGCCGGUGUUAAACCGGAGGAAGGUGGGGGAUGACGUCAAGUCCUCAUGGCCUUUAUGACCAGGGCUACACACGUACUACAAUGGCCGAUACAAAGGGCAGCGACACUGCGAGGUGAAGCCAAUCCCGUAAAAUCGGUCUCAGUCCGGAUUGGAGUCUGCAACUCGACUCCAUGAAGUUGGAAUCGCUAGUAAUCGUGGAUCAGCAUGCCACGGUGAAUACGUUCCCGGGCCUU